UGGGGAAUUUUGGACAAUGGGCGAAAGCCUGAUCCAGCAAUGCCGCGUGUGUGAAGAAGGCCUUCGGGUUGUAAAGCACUUUUGUCCGGAAAGAAAUCCUUGGCUCUAAUACAGUCGGGGGAUGACGGUACCGGAAGAAUAAGCACCGGCUAACUACGUGCCAGCAGCCGCGGUAAUACGUAGGGUGCAAGCGUUAAUCGGAAUUACUGGGCGUAAAGCGUGCGCAGGCGGUUUGCUAAGACCGAUGUGAAAUCCCGGGCUCAACCUGGGAACUGCAUUGGUGACUGGCAGGCUAGAGUAUGGCAGAGGGGGUAGAAUUCCACGUGUAGCAGUGAAAUGCGUAGAGAUGUGGAGGAAUACCGAUGGCGAAGGCAGCCCCUGGCAGUACUGACGCUCAUGCACGAAAGCGUGGGGAGCAAACAGGAUUAGAUACCCUGGUAGUCCACGCCCUAAACGAUGUCAACUAGUUGUUGGGGAUUCAUUUCCUUAGUAACGUAGCUAACGCGUGAAGUUGACCGCCUGGGGAGUACGGUCGCAAGAUUAAAACUCAAAUGAAUUGACGGGGUCAUAGCUGUUUCCU
rnacentral:rRNA from 1 species